rnacentral:rRNA from 1 species
UACGUAGGGUGCAAGCGUUGUCCGGAAUUAUUGGGCGUAAAGAGCUUGUAGGCGGUUUGUCGCGUCUGCCGUGAAAUUUCGGGGCUCAACCCCGAACUUGCAGUGGGUACGGGCAGACUAGAGUGUGGUAGGGGAGACUGGAAUUCCUGGUGUAGCGGUGAAAUGCGCAGAUAUCAGGAAGAACACCCGUGGCGAAGGCGGUUCUCUGGGACGGUACUGACGCUGAGACGCGAAAGCGUGGGGAGCGAACAGG